CCUACGGGUGGCAGCAGUGAGGAAUAUUGGGCAAUGGGCGCAAGCCUGAACCAGCAAAGCCGCGUGAAGGAUGAAGGAUCUAUGGUUUUUAAACUUCUUUUAUAUGGAAAUAAAGUGAGGAGCGUGUUCCUUUUUGUAUGUACCAUAUGAAUAAGCCUCGGCUAGCUCCGUGCCAGCGGCCGCGGUAGUUAGGAGGAUGCGAGCGUUAUCAGGAUUUAUUGGGUUUAAAGGGUGUGUAGGCGGAAGGUUAAGUCAGCGGGAAAAUGUCGUUGCGCAACACCGGCCUGCCGUGGAAACUGGUCUUAUUGAGUAAGAGAGAAGUAUGCGGAAUGCGUGGUGUAGCGGUGAAAUGCAUAGAUAUCAGGCAGAACUCCGAUUGCGAAGGCAGUAUACCGGCGCUCAACUGACGCUGAGGCACGAAAGCGUGGGGAUCGAACAGGAUUAGAUACCCCUGUAGUC
rnacentral:rRNA from 1 species